UAUGUUUCAAAAUGUGUAUGUUAUAUGUAAGCAUGCUCUUACAUGAGGAUGUGCAACUGUUUCAUACUAGUCAUUUCACUAGUGAAUGAAGAAUGGUAGUACAAGUCUGUAUGAAUGAAAUCUCACUAGCAUACGGAAGGUAUCUCAGUUACACCGGUCCUUUGUCAAGUCCCUUAAGUCUGUUUGUAUCUCACUCAAACCACAGUGCUUAUAGAAAUGCACAUGUUUAAUUGGACUAGUAUCACCACAUAAUUAAAAACAAACAAAGCUCUAGCCCAAGUUCAGACAGGAAGACUAUACUGUUGCAUGCCUAAGCCUGGAGCCUUUUAUCUUACCUGUAUGUUAUCUAACUCUCCUGUCAUUUCAGAUCCUCCCACAUCAUCAACCCUCACCUGGUUCUCCUUGCCCUUCUCACCUGCAGCACAUACCCUCAUCAGCAAAUCAUUAUUUAAGCCAGUCACAUUCACCACCGGAUUGUCUUGUGUGUUUCACAGCGGUUUCUCAGUUAGCUGGAUUUACCGCUGUUCUGACCUGAUGUGAAAAGUCAAAUACAUGGCUCACCAGUCAAUGGGAGCGCUGGUGAGCCAGAACAUAAAUGUCUGUACGUGUACCCAGAUCUCACCGGCGUUCCCAAGGACUAUCAUGACUUAAGGGAGGUGUUCAACAAGGCUCGGGCCACUUCACUACCACCAAUCGGCUCCUGGAGGGCUGCAUCCCUCGACCACGUUCGGAGGAACCGAUGGAUUGGGACAAGCGAGUCGCAGCGGAGGUGACAUAUGCGGUCGACGGAUGCAGCUUAGCGACUGAGACACAGCUGUGUCUGUUCCAGAGACAAAGACACCUUGGUCGUUAAUAUGCUGGACUGAUUAGACCGGUCUUCUUCACCCUCUGCCCAUCCCUCAUCGCCCCUGGUCCCACAUCGCAAUGGAUUUCGUAACCGGACUACCCCCCUCUGACGGCUACUGGGGGCCAUUGUCGGCUUGUCUUCUGGAUUCCAACUGCAGUCAAAUGGUCAGCGCAUGAGCCAGGAGAUGGAGACCACACUACGCUGCCUUUCCUCUCGCAACACUCACUCAUGGUCUCAGCAACUCCUAUGGGUCCCAGUUCAGCCACCAGUCUCUCGCCCUUUCAAUGCACCUGGGGAUACCAGCCUCCACUUUUUCCAGACCAGGAAUUGGAGGCAAGCGUCUUUUCUGUCCAGGUGUUUAUUCAAUGGUGCCAGUCCACUUGGAGGCAGGCUCGCUCCACGCUCUGCGUACCUCUGACCGCUACCAACGGUCAAC